CGGUGGACGGCGCGCGUGCGCACAAUGACAUUCCGCCUGUCCCUGUCACCCCGGCCAGUGAGAGCAGGGGGCGCUGUGCCCGUGGGCCUGGGCCUGGGCCUGGGAGUUACAAACCACCCAGCACCAGGGAAAUGCAUCAAAUGCUGAGAAAACCCACGUGUGUGGAACUCGCUUCAUUGGAAGCAAUGCAAAGGUCACAAUCAUGGUUAAAGAAAUGAAUGCAAGAGGAUAAUUUCUGCUCAGUUGGAUGCUGCCAGACCUGCAAAGGUUUCCCAGCAAUUUCUGCUUUUGCGUUAGAAAUAGAAUUGCGGCUUCUGAUCACCAGUUAGUGACUCCAUGUUGGAGACUGCAUGAUGGGGACAGGACUGGAUCCAGCAGUGAUGCCACACACAACGGUAGAAAAGGCAAGGAACACUGCUUGGGCCAGCACCAUAAGAAUGACUCACCCGAGAUAAUGGAAGGAAAGACUGCAGCUUAUGGGAACAGACACCAGCAGAGAUCAACUCCUGCUGGGGAGGGGGGAAAAGAAAUUGGCAAUGAGAAAUACCACAACACAGAACCAAGAUAAAACACCCUGCAACUGAUGUGUUAAAUACUCAGUCCAGAAUCAAACAAAAUGGGCAAUCGGUGUUUAACAACAGCAAUGAAGAUGUUUUGUACCCACCCCAUUAUUGCUCAGUUGGAGAAUGGGCAGAUGCUUACCGUCACUGUAGUCAUGGUGAUGGUAGGAGAUGUGAUACCUUCGUGGGUAUGUCCCACCUUUCCCAAUUUUCUCAA